GAAUAUUGGACAAUGGGGGCAACCCUGAUCCAGCCAUGCCGCGUGUGUGAAGAAGGCCUUUUGUUUGUAAAGCACUUUAAGCAGUGAAGAAGACUACAUCGUUAAUACCCAUGGAAGAUGACAUUAGCUGAAGAAUAAGCAUCGGCUAACUCUGUGCACGCAGCCGCGGUAAUACAGAGGGUGCAAGCGUUAAUCGGAAUUACUGGGCGUAAAGCGAGCGUAGGUGGCUUGAUAAGUCAGAUGUGAAAUCCCCGGGCUUAACCUGGGAACUGCAUCUGAUACUGUUAGGCUAGAAUAGGUGAGAGGAAGGUAGAAUUCCAGGUGUAGCGGUGAAAUGCGUAGAGAUCUGGAGGAAUACCGAUGGCGAAGGCAGCCUUCUGGCAUCAUAUUGACACUGAGGUUCGAAAGCGUGGGUAGCAAAC
rnacentral:rRNA from 1 species